rnacentral:sRNA from 1 species
CAUGCCUCUAGGCAAACUGUAUGAGCGUC